AAUUUACAAAAGUUUCUAGACCACAUUAAUAGUUUGCAUCCAUCGAUCAAAUUUACUUUUGAAGUACAGAAGGGUGAUAAAACUUACCAUUCUUAGAUGUUCUGUUUACUAUACAUGAUGAUGGGUCACCAGGACAUAAUUGGUUUAUAGGAAACCAACACACAGAGACAGGUAUCCGCAUUAUAAUUCAUUUCAUCCUAG